AUUAAACGCUGGCGGCAUGCCUUACACAUGCAAGUCGAACGGCAGCACGGGGGCAACCCUGGUGGCGAGUGGCGGACGGGUGAGUAAAGCAUCGGAACGUAUCCUGGAGUGGGGGAUAACGUAGCGAAAGUUACGCUAAUACCGCAUAUUCUGUGAGCAGGAAAGCAGGGGAUCGCAAGACCUUGCGCUCUGGGAGCGGCCGAUGUCGGAUUAGCUAGUUGGUGGGGUAAAGGCCUACCAAGGCGACGAUCCGUAGCGGGUCUGAGAGGAUGAUCCGCCACACUGGGACUGAGACACGGCCCAGACUCCUACGGGUGGCAGCAGUUUCGAAUCAUUCACAAUGGGCGAAAGCCUGAUGGUGCGACGCCGCGUGAGGGAUGAAGGUCUUCGGAUUGUAAACCUCUGUCACUGGGGAGAAAACGCUUUGAGUUAAUAGUUCAAAGCCUGAUUUAACCCGGAGAGGAAGCAGUGGCUAACUCUGUGCCAGCAGCCGCGGUAAUC
rnacentral:rRNA from 1 species